rnacentral:rRNA from 1 species
UACGUAGGGUGCAAGCGUUAAUCGGAAUUACUGGGCGUAAAGCGUGCGCAGGCGGUUGUGCAAGACAGAUGUGAAAUCCCCGGGCUUAACCUGGGAACUGCAUUUGUGACUGCACGGCUAGAGUGUGUCAGAGGGGGGUGGAAUUCCACGGUGUAGCAGUGAAAUGCGUAGAGAUGUGGAGGAACACCGAUGGCGAAGGCAGCCCCCUGGGCUAACACUGACGCUCGAUGCACGAAAGCGUGGGGAGCAAACAGG